GACGAACGCUGGCGGCAUGCCUAAUACAUGCAAGUCGAGCGAACAGAUGAAGUGCUUGCCCUUCUGAUGUUAGCGGCGAACGGGUGAGUAACACGUAAGGAAUCUACCUAUAAGCGGGGGAUAACAUUCGGAAACGGGUGCUAAUACCGCAUAAUAUCUUCUUCCCCAUGGAAGAAGAUUGAAAGACGGCUCUGCUGUCCCUUAUCGCUGACCUUGCGGUGCAUUAGUUAGUUGGUGGGGUAACGGCCUACCAAGACGAUGAUGCAUAGCCGACCUGAGAGGGUGAUCGGCCACAUUGGGACUGAGACACGGCCCAAACUCCUACGGGAGGCAGCAGUAGGGAAUCUUCCGCAAUGGGCGAAAGCCUGACGGAGCAAUGCCGCGUGAGUGAAGAAGGCCUUCGGGUCGUAAAACUCUGUUAUAAGAGAAGAACAAAUUGUAGAGUAACUGCUACAGUCUUGACGGUAUCUUAUCAGAAAGCCACGGCUAACUACGUGCCAGCCGCCGCAGUAA
rnacentral:rRNA from 1 species